rnacentral:rRNA from 1 species
GCACUUCAUUGCCCUAGUACGGCGAGUGAGCGGCAACAGCUCAAUUUGAAAGCUAGCCUUCGGGUUCGCAUUGUAAUUUGUAGAGGAUGCUUUGGGUAAAACGCCAGUCUAAGUUCCUUGGAACAGGACGUCAUAGAGGGUGAGAAUCCCGUAUGUGACUGGAAAUGUUAACCUAUGUAAAGCUCCUUCGACGAGUCGAGUUGUUUGGGAAUGCAGCUCUAAAUGGGAGGUAAAUUUCUUCUAAAGCUAAAUAUUGGCGAGAGACCGAUAGCGCACAAGUAGAGUGAUCGAAAGAUGAAAAGCACUUUGGAAAGAGAGUUAAAAAGCACGUGAAAUUGUUGAAAGGGAAGCGCUUGCAAUCAGACUUGUUUAAACUGUUCGGCCGGUCUUCUGACCGGUUUACUCAGUUUGGACAGGCCAGCAUCAGUUUCGGCGGCCGGAUAAAGGCUCUGGGAAUGUGGCCUCCACUUCGGUGGAGGUGUUAUAGCCCAGUGUGUAAUACGGCCAGCCGGGACUGAGGUCCGCGCUUCGGCUAGGAUGCUGGCGUAAUGGUUGUAAGCGACCCGUCUUAAA